rnacentral:tRNA from 1 species
GGCUGGUUAGCUCAGUUGGUUAGAGCGUGGUGCUAAUAACGCCAAGGUCGCGGGUUCGAUCGCUGUACGGGCCA